CCUACGGGGGGCAGCAGUAGGGAAUCUUCCACAAUGGGCGAAAGCCUGAUGGAGCAACGCCGCGUGGGUGAAGAAGGUCUUCGGAUCGUAAAACCCUGUUGUUAGAGAAGAAAGUGCGUGAGAGUAACUGUUCACGUUUCGACGGUACCUAACCAGAAAGCCACGGCUAACUACGUGCCAGCAGCCGCGGUAAUACGUAGGUGGCAAGCGUUAUCCGGAUUUAUUGGGCGUAAAGCGAACGCAGGCGGUCUUUUAAGUCUGAUGUGAAAGCCUUCGGCUUAACCGGAGUAGUGCAUUGGAAACUGGGAGACUUGAGUGCAGAAGAGGAAAGUGGAACUCCAUGUGUAGCGGUGAAAUGCGUAGAUAUAUGGAAGAACACCAGUGGCGAAAGCGGCUUUCUGGUCUGUAACUGACGCUGAGGUUCGAAAGCGUGGGGAGCAAACAGGAUUAGAUACCCUAGUAGUC
rnacentral:rRNA from 1 species